CGCCUUCCCACCUGGCUCCCGGUGCUGCCCAGAGGGAAGAUGGCAUCAUGGAUGGGUCUGCCUUCCCAGCAAGACUGGUGGUCUUGGAGAUGAAGACACGGAGACGCUCGCAGAUGCACGACUGACAUCCCCAAGCAACGAUUUAUCAGUUCAUGACUUGCUUCACAUGCAACGCCAAGUCCAGAGCAAAGACAAACAACCACGGACCAAACCUCACGCCUCUCUAGCUAACGUGGUCCACGCAGGAGCUAACGGCGACCACGGAAACAAUAUUUUCAUCGCGUGGAUUAACCCCUCGGCUAUGGCAUGGUUGCCUGCAAGCGUGAGGAGAGCCACGUCCAUGGCUUGUCCUGCAGAUCUGAGCCUCCAGGAGCCCAGACCCUUCCUGUAGCUGUGUGCAUAGCCUGGCAGCGCGUCCAAAGAGGGAAGCACUGCCACCCCCACGUUACAGCCAGGAUUACGAAGCUCAUGCCUUUGUCUACAAUGCCCUAAGAAGACCGCAAGAGCAAACUGCCACCCGACCUAGAAAGAAACAGCAGCACCUUGUCCAUGCCCUAAGCAAUGCUGGUACGAGAGCUCAGAACGAUGCUCAAGCAGCUCCUCGAGCAGCAGGUAAAUCUCUUCACUCCCUAC